GGGGGUGAAAAGGGCUCGACUUAAGCGAGUCGGGUAAAAGUAGCAUGCCGCGGACGCAUGGUUAGCCGCGUUAUCAACCCGUGCACAAUAUAAACGCAAACACGCAAGUGUCUCGUUUAGGAACAAUGGUUGCGCCAGCAAUGGCAAGACCAAUGUUCGUACCAGCCUUCGGACUUAAUUAGUCCGGAGCCUCUCAUUAGGGCUCGCCUGUGGCCUUCUUGAGAGCCGACAGCAGGCUGGUCACGCGUAAUUAGCCUUUGUAAGCGUGACGAGAGCAUAAAAGGAUGCGCUUUGCAAAUCCUGCCUUGUAGGAGUUGCAGGGCUAAGCAUAAAAUACGAGGCUAAGCAUGUAGCGACUCUUAUCUGAUUUCUUGAGGACGGCGGUUCGAUUCCGCCCACCUCCACCA
rnacentral:sRNA from 1 species